rnacentral:lncRNA from 1 species
AAAAAUAAUGGAGAAUCUAAAAGAAAAAAUAAUAUGGAUAAAAGAAACCUUAGAAAAUUUAGAAAAAAGUACAUGUGACAGUUUAUAUAAUUUAAAAAACUCACUACGAGAAGAACAACACAAGAUAAUAAAUAACAUUGAAAAUCUAGAAUUAGAUAUACAUUACAGUACAGUUAGGAUAAAUUAUUAUACAGAAAUUUGUAACUCUGCAAUUACU